UACGUAGGGUGCGAGCGUUGUCCGGAAUUAUUGGGCGUAAAGAGCUCGUAGGCGGUGUGUCACGUCGUUCGUGAAAACCUGCAGCUUAACUGUGGGCGUGCGGUCGAUACGGGCAUCACUGGAGUUCGGCAGGGGAGACUGGAAUUCCUGGUGUAGCGGUGAAAUGCGCAGAUAUCAGGAAGAACACCAAUGGCGAAGGCAGCUCUCUGGGACGGUACUGACGCUGAGACGCGAAAGCGUGGGGAGCGAACAGG
rnacentral:rRNA from 1 species